UGUCUGUGAUGAAUAGUAAAAGGUCUGACCGCACUGCUGUUCCCCCUGCAGCCAAAAUGCUCUCAGCAACCCCUGAUUACUAAGCAGGCUCAAGCUGUGCCAUGUUUGUUUCCAGGAUGUGCUGACAUUCUUGGAUAACCUGAGUUUUGUGUCCAUGAGCUUUGUGAUACAGGUCUGUUGGUUAUCUCACAUUCACUUCUUGGUUGGAGCAUGGUGUACAGGGAUGGAAAGUAAUCCGGUGUAUGAUUUAUGUUUGCAACCUGAGACC